AGCGAACGCUGGCGGCAGGCCUAACACAUGCAAGUCGAACGAACUCUUCGGAGUUAGUGGCGGACGGGUGAGUAACACGUGGGAACGUGCCUUUAGGUUCGGAAUAACUCAGGGAAACUUGUGCUAAUACCGAAUGUGCCCUUCGGGGGAAAGAUUUAUCGCCUUUAGAGCGGCCCGCGUCUGAUUAGCUAGUUGGUGGGGUAAUGGCCCACCAAGGCUACGAUCAGUAGCUGGUCUGAGAGGAUGACCAGCCACAGUGGGACUGAGACACGGCCCAAACUCCUACGGGAGGCAGCAGUUGGGAAUCUUGCGCAAUGGGCGAAAGCCUGACGCAGCCAUGCCGCGUGGAUGAUGAAGGUCUUAGGAUUGUAAGAUCCUUUCACCGGUGAAGAUAAUGACUGUAGCCGGAGAAGAAGCCCCGGCUAACUUCGUGCCAGCCGCCGCUGUAAGAC
rnacentral:rRNA from 1 species